UUUUGUUUCCCUCAUUAGGUGGAGUCUUUGAAUUUUUUAAAAGAUGAUGGUAAUCAGAUCUACUUGAAAAACUAAGUGAAUCGAUUCCAUUGGAGCACUGUUUUAUCAGCUGUUUAACAUUCGCCCAAUAGAUUUCCAGAAGUUGUGCAUGAGUUCCUGUGGAGAGAAUUGGAGUCUUGGGCAGCAAAGGCAGCUGCAAUGCAGUUUACUGAGAUGAGGAUAACAGGAAGCAUCAGGACAGUCAUGCCCGUGAGAACUCUAAACUAUUCAGGUAGUCAUUUCAUUUUUAAUCUGUCCUCAAAAUAGGUUUUGUUUUCCGUAUUUUGAAACUUUUAUGAUUGUUUUGUUUAGUUGUACUCUUUUACCUUCCCC
rnacentral:lncRNA from 1 species